UCCUCACUCCUGAAGUGAAUUUCCAGUCAAAAGUUGCGGGCUGUAGUUGGUGCGUCAGCGCUCCAAACUUGAACACAAAGCAGGAGACAAGAGGGCGAGAGACAUAGAGAGACUGCGGCGGCGAGCAGGGAGAGGGAGAGGAGCGGUCCCCCUUUUCCUUUGUCUGAUGCGCGUUGAGGAGAGAAGUUGAGGAGAUGCUCAAAGACGCAUCUCCACAUUAGCCAGUAAAGACCUACGUAUGCUGCUCACGAUGACUUGUCUUUGCGCCUAAAUGUGGGUGAGAAGGAGUUUGUCUUGAUUCCGGUGUUUUUUGUGUGAAUUUUUCGUCUCUUGGGGAUGUUGCAACACUCAAAGACAAAGAAAGAAAGAAAAAAAAAGCCCGGCAGAAGUUUGCGCGUAAAGGAUGUUUUAAGCACGCGUAAAAACAGACAAAGUAGCAAUUUGUUAACUCUGAUGUAAUUUGUUUUUUUCCAUCUUUUGCUCCAUGUUUUCAUUUGACAGCGGUGUGUUGUUUUUUUGGCGAAGUUGCUUUUACUGCAGUGUGGGAAGUCAGCACAAAGCCAUCAGGUGUAAAUUCAAACAAAAGCCUGGUGCAGUGGAACUUUUUCUUGUUGCGCACGAAUGUAGAGGAUGACCCGAAGAAGUAAAGAUGAGCGCAGACGUGGGCGCGUUUACAAACUUCUCAGAGCGUCCUGGAAGCAGAUCAACAGGUGGGAUUUAAACACAGAUUAACCAGCGAAAGCGUUCGGUCCUGUGGGAGGUAAAGAGGAAAAAAAAAUAUGCCGAACUUCCGUGGAGGAUGCUCAGAAUCACCAAUCAAACGAAUUUCAAGAAGAGAAGGAUUAAGAGAAUUCCACUUUUUUAAAUUUCUUUUUAGCUUUAUCACAGGAGGAUUUAGACUUCAACUCCUUAUGCAGUUGGAUUGCAGCUUUUUUUGUUUUUUGGAAACUUGUGGAGACACUUUUGAGGAUUAUGAAACCUCUUUGCCGUAAAUCUCUCUGGGAGACGCGUCCCAGGCCAGAGCCUCCAGGACAGCAGGAUAUUGCUUCUCAUCUCCUCCUUGGGCCUUUGCACACACCCAGGUGUAAAAACUCAUCAGGCGUUUGCUGCCACUGGGCAUCUACAACGAAUAGAAUCAGACCAACCUGCAGACCAACAGUCAGAAGAUCUGCUAGAAAAAUGGCUGUAUGCGUCUGCUCUGACUCAUCUAAGCCACCAGGAGGUCUAAAGAGAAAACACUUCAUUGUUGGGGAGUGUGGGAGCGGAGAGGUCUGGGAGAUCACGACCUUAAUUCUCCCCAAGACAGAGGAUUUAAUUAAGACUGAAGGAUUCCUCACUGACUCCAGACCUCUACAAUAAAACUAUAAUAGGGACAUGGAUUGCACAGGCCUCCGUCGUUGCGUUCCAUGUCGCACGGAGACCACCUCACAGGGAUUUUCCUCUUCACCAGGUAGCCACAAAGAGGAAAAGAAGCAUAUUAUCCACAUGUACGGCAUCCGACCCCUCUGUACCACAUUAAUGCUGACCACCAGCAUUGCAGGAAACGCACGUCCACACAGACACACACUUACGCCAAACAGAGUAUUAUCUUUAUGAGGUGUUACACACCAGUGACCACCAACACAGGGUCUCAGUGUUCUCUAAUCCACACUCUGUCUGAAAAGACUGCUCCAUGCAACAGAGGGAUUACAAUGGCGGAUAAAUGGGAGUUUUAAUUUGAGUCAUUAUAAGAGUCUUUGCUUAUAAGAAGAAGUGAGGAAAGAUUACUUGUUCAUAUGGUUCAAAUGUAUAUUAUAUUCUACUGUCGGUCUAUCCAUUAAAAGAUAUGUGCCAAACAG